UAUUGUGUUGCACACCACACUGAGAAGUCUGCGCCACCUUAAUGAAGACAUGAAAUGAUUUAGGUGAAUAUUGACUUCUAGUGUUUGUUAGAAAUGUUAGCUUCACAGCUCCAUUGCUAAACUAAAGACACAAACUUUGGACACCAAUUAUGUCUUGGCCAAAAGACUACAUUGGGGAUAGGCCUACUGCAUCAGACUGUGCUCCGAUAAAGCCUGUCUUGUUACCGCUGCUGCAACUACAACCCUGCAGGUGGAUGACGACCAAACAAAACAGACCAGACUGACCACGAAAAAGAUAUGACGCUACGAGAAGAAGAUGUGCUUGAUUUGUAAACUGGAUCUGCAGAACAUUCCAAUGUGCAAGAUAUAAGAAAAACUAAUAAAAAUUUAAUAUGGAAAAAA